rnacentral:rRNA from 1 species
CAGGACGAACGCUGGCGGCGUGCCUAACACAUGCAAGUCGAGCGGAGACAGACGGAAAGCUUGCUUCUGUCUGUUCAGCGGCGGACGGGUGAGUAACGCGUGAGCAACCUGCCUUUAACAGGGGAAUAACGCAUCGAAAGAUGUGCUAAUACCGCAUAAGACCACAGCAUCACAUGGUGCAGGGGUCAAAGGAGCAAUCCGGUUAAAGAUGGGCUCGCGUCCGAUUAGCUGGUUGGUGAGACAACAGCCCACCAAGGCGACGAUCGGUAGCCGACCUGAGAGGGUGAUCGGCCACAUUGGAACUGAGAUACGGUCCAGACUCCUACGGGAGGCAGCAGUGGGGAAUAUUGGGCAAUGGGCGAAAGCCCUGACCCAGCAGCGCCGCGUGAGGGAAGAAGGGUUUCGGCUCGUAAACCUCUGUCCUAUGGGACGAAGGAAGUGACGGUACCAUAGGAGGAAGCCCCGGCUAACUACGUGCCAGCCGCGGC